UCAGGAGGUCCCAUCUUCAUACUUUUGCUCAGGCUGCCUGGAAGAGCCUUCCUUCCACCUGUUCACAACAAUACUCUUUGAACCUGAGCUUUCUCCACCAUGAAGUCUUCUUUGAUAAAGAAAGAAGUUGUUGUUACCAAUGACAGCUAAGUGAUUUUUUACCUAAAAAGGAUGAGAAAAUUGGAGGUCUAUAAAGUAUCUUGAAGACAAAAGUUGCCAUAUAAAUGCUGUGUGUUAUCUUCUUCAUCAAGGACCAUGGAAGAAGCUGCUGGUUGGAGAUGAAUGAGCUUUUGUUUCUGCAAAGUCGAAUUUUUAUUUUUUAGCUGAUAUGUUUGGAGCCAGAACUCUUCCCUGAGACAAGCCCCAUGGAUGACUGAUUCCUGAAACUGCCCUGCUGAGAGGUGAAGAGGAAACUUCCAGCACCCUGGGAGGAGCAUGAGGAUAGGUUCACAGUGGGAACCCACAGAAGAGGAGCUGCCCAGCUCAGGGAGCCAGUGAAAUCACAGUGAUCAUUAACAGGGCAAGAGAGUGAACAAAGCAGACUUAGAUAUCAAGACUGUCAAGGGCAAGGAUCCAGAUCAUGCCCUCAAAACAACAAAUUCCAGAGAGGUGUUGAAAUCGAAGAUCGGCAACUUCUUAUAAUCUGGCUUCACCCCCAUUUUUAAAAACUAGGAACUGAGUCCCCACAAUUGGGUUGGAUCAGCUAUUUGUCCAGGCCAAGACUGCCAUUGUCUUAUAGACUUGCUUCAUUGUGUUACUUCCUGGGUCAGAAAUCAUCACCCAUCCUCCCCUCCUUUAAGCGGCAGCCCAGAGUCUUUAGCCAGUAUUCCAAGCCAUCUAAGCACUGGGUCAGACUGACUCUUGCAGGCUUACUUCCCCUAUCCUAUAACAUUACCAGAAUGAUUUUCCCUUUUUGCUCUCAUCCAAUAGCAACAUUGCCCAGACUCAAAACACUGUCUCACAUCUCAUUACCUCCAGAAAAACUUCCCAGAUCACCCAACAUAAAUGAGACCAUUUCCUCUUUUAUGCCUCGAAGAGUCUCCUGGCUUGUCACCUUCAUGAUGCUCAGUCCACGCUGUCUAGGGCUGUUGCCCUGUAUGUUCCCAUUGAGAAUCUUGAGCUUCUAUAAGCUCAUAGACAAUAAAGGACACUCUGUUUUUCCUUUUCAGCAGCACUGGGCACAAUGCCUAGCAUGCACAGCAAUGGCUCAGCACAUAUUGUGGAGCUAACCAGGUAAAUUGGGUUUUAUGUAAUGGUUGGUACCUAAAGUAGCUUACAUAUAAGCCCAUCCAUCUAUCCAUCCAUCCAUCCAUCCAUCCAUCCAUCCAUCCAUCCAUCCAUCCAUUUCUACAUUGACUACAUAUUCUAUCCAGCUCAGUGCUUGGUCCUGGAAAUACCGCAAUGAGCAAUAAAGUCAUGAUGCCUAUCA